rnacentral:rRNA from 1 species
GAUGAACGCUGGCGGCGUGCCUAAUACAUGCAAGUCGAGCGAAUGGAUUAAGAGCUUGCUCUUAUGAAGUUAGCGGCGGACGGGUGAGUAACACGUGGGUAACCUGCCCAUAAGACUGGGAUAACUCCGGGAAACCGGGGCUAAUACCGGAUAAUAUUUUGAACUGUAUGGUUCAAAAUUGAAAGGCGGCUUCGGCUGUCACUUAUGGAUGGACCCGCGUCGCAUUAGCUAGUUGGUGAGGUAACGGCUCACCAAGGCAACGAUGCGUAGCCGACCUGAGAGGGUGAUCGGCCACACUGGGACUGAGACACGGCCCAGACUCCUACGGGAGGCAGCAGUAGGGAAUCUUCCGCAAUGGACGAAAGUCUGACGGAGCAACGCCGCGUGAGUGAUGAAGGCUUUCGGGUCGUAAAACUCUGUUGUUAGGGAAGAACAAGUGCUAGUUGAAUAAGCUGACACCUUGACGGUACCUAACCAGAAAGCCAGGGCUAACUACGUGCCAGCCGCCGCGGUAA